UACGUAGGCAGCAAGCGUUGUUCGGAGUUACUGGGUUUAAAGGGUGCGUAGGCGGCCAUGUAAGUCAGGAGUGAAAGUUUGCGGCUCAACCGUAAAAUUGCUUUUGAUACUGCAUGGCUGGAAUCAGGAUGAGGUCAGCGGAAUGUGGCAUGUAGCGGUGAAAUGCAUAGAUAUGCCAUAGAACACCAAUUGCGAAGGCAGCUGGCUAGACCUGUAUUGACGCUGAGGCACGAAAGCGUGGGGAGCGAACAGG
rnacentral:rRNA from 1 species